CAGCAGCCACGGGAAUACGAAGGGUGCAAGCGUUACUCGGAAUUACUGGGCGUAAAGCGUGCGUAGGUGGUGGUUUAAGUCCGUUGUGAAAGCCCUGGGCUCAACCUGGGAAUUGCAGUGGAUACUGGGUCACUAGAGUGUGGUAGAGGAUAGUGGAAUUUCCGGUGUAGCAGUGAAAUGCGUAGAGAUCGGAAGGAACAUCUGUGGCGAAGGCGACUAUCUGGGCCAACACUGACACUGAGGCACGAAAGCGUGGGGAGCAAACAGGAUUAGAUACCCCCGUAGUCCCUGUCUCUUAUAC
rnacentral:rRNA from 1 species